rnacentral:rRNA from 1 species
CCCUUAGAUGUUCUGGGCCGCACGCGCGCUACACUGACUACUUCAACGAAUUGUUUCCUUGAUCGAAAGGUCUGGGUAAUCUUUGAAAGGUAGUCGUGAUGGGGAUAGAUCCUUGCAAUUUUUGAUCUUCAACGAGGAAUUCCUAGUAAACGCAAGUCAUCAGCUUGCAUUGAUUACGUCCCUGCCCUUUGUACACACCGCCCGUCGCACCUACCGAUUGAAUGGUCCGGUGAAUCUUUAGGACUGUGGCUGAGGCCUUGCCUUGUGCGGGUCUGGCCGUGGGAAUUUAGUUAAACCUUACCAUUUAGAGGAAGGUGAAGUCGUAACA